CAGACUUUACCUCGAGCUGUUCGUCAAGCAACAGCUGCGUCACCAGCUUUUGGAUGCGGAGCACCUCAGCAGGCACACUGAGCAGCGUAAACAAGUUGUAGAAAACCAUGAUCUGGAGAGCAGAUGACGUCAUUAAAAAGUGACCAAAAUUGUUGGAGAAGUUCUGGUUAUGUGAAACAAAGGGGAAAAAAACAAAAACGCAAUGCAAUGCGUUCUCAUCCUGGCUACCAUCAAAUGUGAGGCAGUGGCCGUAAAGUGCUGCCAGAACCAGAGGGAUGUGCUCAGGAUACAGCAGGCCCUGGGACAUGAGAGAGAGACACGUGCGCGCAUCCUGCUUCAUCUCAUCAUAGCUCUCAUCAAUCUCCACCGGGGCAAUCUGCAGGGAGAGAGAAAGGGUGAGAGAGAUGGAGAGAGCUGUUUGAGGAUCCCGGCCACUGCUGAGAUCGCCACCUGAGAGAGAACAGAAGGAGAACAUGCCGACUACGUUUCUGAUUUGCUGACGCUGGAGCCCCUCGUUUAGGUCCGCGGUGGACGGGGCCUCUAAGCAAGACAUUGGAUUUCCAGACUUUGUGACUUGAUUGGCGAUUUCUACACAUGUCUCAGAUACCUAAAGAGGAAGUGGACACAUUGAACCGCUUAGGUUUUGGAUUCAGGCGAGUUUGACAAGCUCACUGACAUGACAUCAGCUUGCAUUUGAACAGAGCGUGGGUGAAGCCGCAUCAGUCGCCCUGAAGUGCAAAUCAGCACCACAAAUGGGAAAACACAACAACAAAUAACAAAACACAAGUUCAAAUGUGCAAACUUAACACAACUGCACUAAGAGACGGAGAGUGCGACCAUCCAAUCAGCAACAAUCCUUGACAGCAGCUGCAGGUCUCACAGGUCAGAUACAUGUGCUCCAUCCAGAGGGGGCAGCAUGCUUCCAGCUCCAAGAAGGCAGUGGUGCACGAUAGCAAGACUCUGCAACAGCUCCUCCCUGUGAAUAAGGGAAUGCUCAGUCAUCAGUUUGUGUGUGCGCCUGAUUACUUUUAAAAAUCAAAAACGAAGAUGAAGAAGAUAAUGGCACACCUGCUCACUGGCUGAUCUCCAGAGACGUGGCCCUUGAUUCGCUCCAACUCAGGGUGGAGGAGGCGUGACAACAGCUGGAAAACAAAGUUCUCCUCCUCCACACUUGGCACGUGCCAACACACACCCAGGGCUGCCACAUCUCCGGCUCUGCCCCAGUCCUAGAGAGAAAAAGAGAGAGAUGCUGACAGUUUUUCCACUGGAACAGCUGGCAAGAAAACCGGCACAACCAAUCCCACUCAAACCCACAGAGCAGUGUCAUCUUCUGGUGUUAAAUUAUUUGAAACACAUGGAGGUCAUUAUCAAAGCCUCCAGAGGUGCUGCGGUGCUCAGUGGGAUAGAUGAGGGACAGCGACCGAAGCGUGUGUUCCAGCAGACUGCAG